GCUGCUGCUGCUGCUGCCCGGUGCGGAUUGGGCUGCUCCUGACACAGGUGUUUUGCACGUGUCCGAAAGCACAGGCCUCGGUUUGGCGCUCGUUAGAGCAUCACAUUCAUUAGGCAGACCUGGGGGUGCAGCUUCAGCCUGCCAGCUGCACCCCAGAGCAGACACACAGCAGAGUGCUCCAGCCAGACCUCUGCUCCUGGUGACAUCCCACUCCUAGGGCACUUCAGCUGAGGACAGGCUCCUCUGUGCAGCCCUGUGUGUUCAUACAGGCUGCCCCAAACCCAGUGUCUCUGGCCACAGCAGGCAUUUCUUUGCUCCUUGCCUUCACUUUCUAGUGAAAUGCUUUUUCUCUCUCUCAUUUUCCUGCUCUCUUUGUCUCUCCCACCUGCUGUUUGCUCACCCAGGAGAGCUGUGUGCACACGGAUAAACAAUACCCUGGGAGAUCCCACCAAAGCCCCGUGCUCUCAGCUCCUCUGUGAGCAGCUCAAAUCCAUGGCUCACACACCGAACGAGUCUUCUUUAGUUUUUAACUCCCCUUUUCCAGAUCUGCCUAGCUCUGUGUUUGGUGCAUUCAAUCAUAGCAGAAGGGCAGCCAUUUCACUCACCAGUCCCGGGCAGUUUAACCCAACCCAUAAUACCAGCAUUGUAGUCAGCUUGCUGAGAGCUGGAAAAAUUAGACAUACCUGUUUGUAAUGAGUGCUGAUAAUGACAGGACCCACAAACAACAAAGCAGUCUGCUAGAUCCAAUCACUGCCUCCGUUUGAAGACAUUAACAUUGGUAAUUGCAUACUGUGGAAGCUCAGAGUCACUAAAUGAGAUUGCCUCCUCCAUGCUCAUCACAAAAGACAGGACCAGAGCAGAGAAACUUACGUGCUAAGAGGAGGAAGAAGAUGACAUCUCUUCUACAGAUGAGGAAUGAGAAUGCAGAAACAAUAAAGAGCAUGAAGGGCAGAGCUGGAAAGCCAAAGCAGCUUUGCUAUUAAAUCAUCUUCCCAAGACAAACUCUGGGGCAAAACUGAAAGAUGUUGUGAGCAUGUAGGGGGUCCACAAAUUCCAUCUCUGGGUGUAAUUCCUUCUGAAGAGCAGUUUCUGAUCCCCUAGUUUGUGACAUGUGAAUCUCCAAGGACAGCUGAGCUUUUCCACCUGUCUGGACAUGGGAUGACAGUCAAACAUUUUUAGCCUCUCUGGGGGAGGAUGCACCAGAGACUGUGGCGUUCACAUGCAGGUGCUCCAGUUGUGCCUGUGACUCCUCCAGUAACUUCUUCCUGGGGUCCUCAUUUUCUCUCAUCAGCUCCUGAGGAUGUGGUUCACUGAGAGAUGCUUUUCAAUCCAAGUUACUGGACCAGGCAGAACAAAGCCACCACUUUCCAAACCUUCCCAAACAAGCCUCUUUUUUCCUUCUUUCCCCUAGCACCGAGCAGGUGUUAUGGCUGCAGUAGGGCAGGAUGUGAGCAUUCUCCCACCCAGCAUUUCAUUUUACUUUCAGCCCCAUUUCCCAAAAGCUUAGACUUCCUUCACCCCACUUACCUGCACAAAAUGGAGCUAACAGAACCCACACAAGUGCAGAUAAUUUUCCCAACAGACUCAGCUC